UACGAAGGGGGCUAGCGUUGUUCGGAAUCACUGGGCGUAAAGGGCGCGUAGGCGGCCAUAUAAGUCGGGGGUGAAAGCCUGUGGCUCAACCACAGAAUUGCCUUCGAUACUGUAUGGCUCGAGACCGGAAGAGGUAAGUGGAACUGCGAGUGUAGAGGUGAAAUUCGUAGAUAUUCGCAAGAACACCAGUGGCGAAGGUGGCUUACUGGUCCGGUUCUGACGCUGAGGCGCGAAAGCGUGGGGAGCAAACAGG
rnacentral:rRNA from 1 species